rnacentral:rRNA from 1 species
UACGUAGGGCGCGAGCGUUGUCCGGAAUUAUUGGGCGUAAAGAGCUCGUAGGCGGCCAGUUGCGUCCGCUGUGAAAACCCGGGGCUCAACCCCGGGCUUGCAGUGGAUACGGGCAGGCUGGAGGCAGGCAGGGGAGAACGGAAUUCCCGGUGUAGCGGUGAAAUGCGCAGAUAUCGGGAGGAACACCGGUGGCGAAGGCGGUUCUCUGGGCCUGUACUGACGCUGAGGAGCGAAAGCGUGGGGAGCGAACAGG